rnacentral:rRNA from 1 species
GAUGAACGCUGGCGGCGUGCCUAAUACAUGCAAGUCGAGCGAACAGAUGAGGAGCUUGCUCCUCUGACGUUAGCGGCGGACGGGUGAGUAACACGUGGAUAACCUACCUAUAAGACUGGGAUAACUUCGGGAAACCGGAGCUAAUACCGGAUAAUAUAUUGAACCGCAUGGUUCAAUAGUGAAAGACGGUUUUGCUGUCACUUAUAGAUGGAUCCGCGCCGCAUUAGCUAGUUGGUAAGGUAACGGCUUACCAAGGCAACGAUGCGUAGCCGACCUGAGAGGGUGAUCGGCCACACUGGAACUGAGACACGGUCCAGACUCCUACGGGAGGCAGCAGUAGGGAAUCUUCCGCAAUGGGCGAAAGCUUGACGGAGCAACGCCCCGUGAGUGAUGAAGGUCUUCGGAUCGUAAAACUCUGUUAUUAGGGAAGAACAAAUGUGUAAGUAACUAUGCACGUCUUGACGGUACCUAAUCAGAAAGCCACGGCUAACUACGUG